rnacentral:lncRNA from 1 species
CUUGAGGUAAAACAUUUAUAUCGUAACAUAAAUUGAGAGUUGGUUUGGUAGUUUAGUUUCAAUUGACAUUUUUCCUAAAAAAAGGUAAAAUACGAUUAACUGUACCCCAAAUAAAAAAAAGCACAUUACAAGAGGUGCAAUUUAUGCAAUUUUUCAAGUUAAAAUGAGGGUAAUGUUUUUCCUAGCUUUCAUCCAUAUCCUACUCAAACAACAAGAAACCCAUUUUCAGGUAAUGUAUUCGACAAUAAUGUAUUUCGCCAGUAAUGUAUUUCUCUAGACAAUACAUUUCUAGGCACCCAAACGGCC